rnacentral:rRNA from 1 species
UUCCGUAGGGUGACCUGCGGAGGGAUCAUUGCUGGAACGCGCCCCAGGCGCACCCAGAAACCCUUUGUGAACUUAUACCUUACUGUUGCCUCGGCGCAUGCCGGCCCCCCUGGGGGCCCCUCCUUCGGGAGGAGCAGGCACGCCGGCGGCCAACCUAACUCUUGUUUUUACACUGAAACUCUGAGAAUAAAACAUAAAUGAAUCAAAACUUUCAACAACGGAUCUCUUGGUUCUGGCAUCGAUGAAGAACGCAGCGAAAUGCGAUAAGUAAUGUGAAUUGCAGAAUUCAGUGAAUCAUCGAAUCUUUGAACGCACAUUGCGCCCUCUGGUAUUCCGGAGGGCAUGCCUGUUCGAGCGUCAUUUCAACCCUCAAGCCUGGCUUGGUGAUGGGGCACUGCUUUUACCCAAAAGCAGGCCCUGAAAUUCAGUGGCGAGCUCGCCAGGACCCCGAGCGCAGUAGUUAAACCCUCGCUUUGGAAGGCCCUGGCGGUGCCCUGCCGUUAAA